rnacentral:rRNA from 1 species
GACAGAGGGGGCAAGCGUUGCUCGGAAUUACUGGGCGUAAAGCGCGCGUAGGCGGUCUUGUAUGUCGAUUGUGAAAGCCCCGGGCUCAACCUGGGAACUGCAGUCGAAACUGCAAGACUUGAAUGUUGGAGAGGGUGGGGGAAUACCUAGUGGAGAAGUGAAAUUCGUAGAGAUUAGGUGGAACACCAGAGGCGAAGGCGCCUGCCUGGCCAAACAUUGACGCUGAGGCGCGAAAGCGUGGGGAGCAAACAGG